GCCGAGGUGGCGGAAUCCGGCUAACGCGCUAGACUUGAGAUCUAGUGUCCUCCGGGACAUUUGGGUUCAAAUCCCAACCUCGGCG
rnacentral:tRNA from 1 species